rnacentral:other from 1 species
AACUUCCUGGGGUGUUCGAUAGCCCGCGAAUUUUGAACCUACAUUUACGUAUCAUGGGAUUUCUAUAUCUCUGGUGGAUUGUCAGGCCUCCGUUUGCAGUGGAAGGCAGGAAGCCAGAUGCGAUAACCCACCUGGCUUUGGCUAGGCGUCAAAAUAGCGGGUCCGGCAUUUUGGGAAGUUU